UGGCACAUCACCACCGUAACACCCACUGGCAGUUGGCUGAGGCCUAAAAGUGGCCAAGUCUAUGAGGUCCUUCCCGAGCUCGGCAGCAGGCUGAUAAUGAAGAAAGUUGCUUGAUGUGAUUCUUUGCAGGUGGACUCUGUCAAGAAAAGCCCAAAAUAUUCGUUACCAGACACGCAACCAGGAGAUGAACACAAAGCAAGGAUGGGGGAAACAAAACAGAGGAGGUGUGUUGAUAUUCACUGAGCAAAGAAAGAAAAAACAAGGAAGUCAACAGUAAGGAAGGAAACGAUGUUAUUAUUGAACUGAUUCUUACCUUGUGUAUGUUAGUUUUGGAUCAUUAAGCCACUUUGUUACUGCACUGGCUUCCUGAAAAGCCAAAAAAGUGACAUUCACAAGUCAUGCUUCGUUGUACUAGCAAAGGAAGGACAUGCUGUAACCUCACGUCUGGCGUCCCGGCACUUUGGGAAUGUCAACAUUUAUCAGCCUUGUUCACAUCUAGUCCUCCUCCAACAAAGUAGCAAGCAGCUCAUUGGAGAGCCACACAGUCACCAGGACAGAGAGAAUGCCCAGCAGCAGAAGCCAAAAAAAGAAACUUUCCCUUUCUGUCUCCUCUGUCUGUGGCGUGCAACCCAGCUAUGAGGACGUGGGGUUGAAGCCAUUUCCUUUUUCAGUUUCAGCUUCUGACC
rnacentral:lncRNA from 1 species